AGCGGAGGAAAAGAAACCAACAGGGAUUGCCCUAGUAACGGCGAGUGAAGCGGCAACAGCUCAAAUUUGAAAGCUAGCCUUCGGGUUCGCAUUGUAAUUUGUAGAGGAUGAUUUGGGGAAGCCGCCUGUCUAAGUUCCUUGGAACAGGACGUCAUAGAGGGUGAGAAUCCCGUAUGUGACAGGAAAUGGCACCCUAUGUAAAUCUCCUUCGACGAGUCGAGUUGUUUGGGAAUGCAGCUCUAAAUGGGAGGUAAAUUUCUUCUAAAGCUAAAUAUUGGCGAGAGACCGAUAGCGCACAAGUAGAGUGAUCGAAAGAUGAAAAGCACUUUGGAAAGAGAGUUAAAAAGCACGUGAAAUUGUUGAAAGGGAAGCGCUNGCAAUCAGACUUGUUUAAACUGUUCGGCCGGUCUUCUGACCGGUUUACUCAGUUUGGACAGGCCAGCAUCAGUUUCGGCGGCCGGAUAAAGGCUCUGGGAAUGUGGCCUCCACUUCGGUGGAGGUGUUAUAGCCCAGGGUGUAAUACGGCCAGCCGGGACUGAGGUCCGCGCUUCGGCUAGGAUGCUGGCGUAAUGGUUGUAAGCGACCCGUCUU
rnacentral:rRNA from 1 species